rnacentral:rRNA from 1 species
UAAUACGGAGGGUGCGAGCGUUAAUCGGAAUUACUGGGCGUAAAGCGCAUGCAGGUGGUUCAUUAAGUCAGAUGUGAAAGCCCGGGGCUCAACCUCGGAACUGCAUUUGAAACUGGUGAACUAGAGUACUGUAGAGGGGGGUAGAAUUUCAGGUGUAGCGGUGAAAUGCGUAGAGAUCUGAAGGAAUACCAGUGGCGAAGGCGGCCCCCUGGACAGAUACUGACACUCAGAUGCGAAAGCGUGGGGAGCAAACAGGAUUAGAUACCCUGGUAGUCCACGCCGUAAACGAUGUCUACUUGGAGGUUGUGGCCUUGAGCCGUGGCUUUCGGAGCUAACGCGUUAAGUAGACCGCCUGGGGAGUACGGUCGCAAGAUUA